rnacentral:rRNA from 1 species
UAGGGAAUCUUCGGCAAUGGACGAAAGUCUGACCGAGCAACGCCGCGUGAGUGAAGAAGGUUUUCGGAUCGUAAAACUCUGUUGUUAGAGAAGAACAAGGACGUUAGUAACUGAACGUCCCCUGACGGUAUCUAACCAGAAAGCCACGGCUAACUACGUGCCAGCAGCCGCGGUAAUACGUAGGUGGCAAGCGUUGUCCGGAUUUAUUGGGCGUAAAGCGAGCGCAGGCGGUUUCUUAAGGCUGAUGUGAAAGCCCCCGGCUCAACCGGGGAGGGUCAUUGGAAACUGGGAGACUUGAGUGCAGAAGAGGAGAGUGGAAUUCCAUGUGUAGCGGUGAAAUGCGUAGAUAUAUGGAGGAACACCAGUGGCGAAGGCGGCUCUCUGGUCUGUAACUGACGCUGAGGAUCGAAAGCGUGGGGAACAAACAGG